UACGUAGGGUGCAAGCGUUAAUCGGAAUUACUGGGCGUAAAGCGUGCGCAGGCGGUUUUGUAAGUCUGUCGUGAAAGCCCCGGGCUCAACCUGGGAAUUGCGAUGGAGACUGCAAGGCUUGAAUCUGGCAGAGGGGGGUAGAAUUCCACGUGUAGCAGUGAAAUGCGUAGAGAUGUGGAGGAACACCGAUGGCGGAAGGCAGCCCCCUGGGUCAAGAUUGACGCUCAUGCACGAAAGCGUGGGGAGCAAA
rnacentral:rRNA from 1 species